rnacentral:rRNA from 1 species
UACGUAGGGGGCGAGCGUUGUCCGGAUUUAUUGGGCGUAAAGAGCUCGUAGGCGGCUUGGCAAGUCGGGUGUGAAAACUCCAGGCUCAACCUGGAGACGCCACUCGAGACUGCUAUGGCUAGAGUCCGGUAGGGGACCACGGAAUUCCUGGUGUAGCGGUGAAAUGCGCAGAUAUCAGGAGGAACACCGGUGGCGAAGGCGGUGGUCUGGGCCGGCACUGACGCUGAGGAGCGAAAGCGUGGGUAGCGAACAGG